UACGGAGGGUGCAAGCGUUGUUCGGAAUUACUGGGCGUAAAGCGAGCGUAGUCGGUUAUUUAAGUCGGGUGUGAAAUCCCCGGGCUCAACCUGGGAAUUGCAUUCGAUACUGGAUAGCUAGAGUUCGGCAGAGGGAAGCGGAAUUUCCGGUGUAGCGGUGAAAUGCGUAGAUAUCGGAAGGAACAUCAGUGGCGAAAGCGGCUUCCUGGACCAGAACUGACGAUCAGGCUCGAAAGCGUGGGGAGCAACAGG
rnacentral:rRNA from 1 species